GAUUAUUUUUGAAUGUGUUAUUUCCGUUAUCAACUCGAAAACACUAUCGGUAGAACUCUUUGGAGUUCUCAUGCAUAUCGAAUUACUAUCUUUUUUUUCUCUUUUUUCCUUGUUUCUUUUGUUGGCCGUGAAACUAAUGUUGCCGCUGACUCUUUAGCAAAGUUCGCGCUGCAUAGGUCUCCCCAGGUCUUGUAUCGAACCUUUGAUCUUUCUAUAUAAUUGAACCUUUGAUCUUUCUUUCUUUUUUCCCUCUGAUGAAAUUCAUUCCAAAUCGAAAAUACAAGUUUUAAUACAACGACUGGCGACAUAACGAAUAAACCCCAGAAACAAAAGCCUACAAGAGAGGCGACUAGAGCCCACAAGAGAGGCGACUAAAACCCACACCGGGGCACCUUACAUCAACAACAUAAAAACUAAACUCGCCACAACACCAGAAAACCAAUUAACAACUACACUGGAGCACAACACAAAGCAAAUUGGCAAACUUACGAACUAAGCAGAAGCUAAUGAUCGGGAUGUACCGUUGCUCACGAUAACCUCCACCUCUAACACCCAAAGACACCAUGACUUACCGCUGCCGCUUUCGCCGCCCAACGAUAACGUCUAAGAACCACGACUCGAGACUUCAUAACCUGAUAAGACCCGAUAAGAGGGAUCGCUUUACGACCCAAACAACCUUCGGAGAGGGAUGCAACGCAAUCAUAAACGUCCAAUUUCUCUUAGAUAGAAGCUCAGCCAAACCACCACAAAGACGAGGUUUUGCCCACCGAAAUGCUCCGGACUCACUCACGGAGGAACAACGGAACGGCAAGCAAACACUGCGACCACCACCACUAGAAGAUAAUCUGCUAAAUCAAGUGUUAACUCCAAGUAGAGAGACAUUGGAUCCUUAUUUGAGCGAGGACAAAGGAGAACCAACUUCAACACUCGCAGAGGCGCAUUCAUGUGUCGGCCUCGGAACCUACGGCUUUCACAUUAGACCAUGUUUUGUUUCCAACGAUGUCGAGCUCGUACCACCGGUUAGAGAAGGAAUUCCUCACCGUCGUUAGGAUGAGCCCCACCAUAUACCGACUACCAGGCUGUCUAAAGCUUCCGUACAUUCACCCGACUUUCUCUCUUUUGUACAACACGCGCCGCCUCUUGAUUAGUUUCAUCUAAUUAUUUUGAUUUUCAGUGGUUCUGAACUACCGUUUUUCUUUUUAAUGUAUAAGAUCAUUUCUAAGAAGGAAUCAAGAAUUUAUUUUUAUGA